UUCUUGAUAGCCAGGCAGAUAAUUCUCAGGUUUUGCCCCACAGAAUCUCUAUCUAAAAUAGAGCAGUGGUCAUGCCUAGUGAAAAGUUUGAGGGAACUCGCCCAAUGUUGGGUUUCUUCAGAGCCAUAUAUAUAGAUAUAACCAAAUAUCCUAAAAGACACUGCCCUUCAUCAUUCCAUGCCGUUAGACAUUUACAGGACCAUGGAUGGUGAUCUCCUCCAGACAAAAAUAAAUGCUGGUGCAGAACAGGACGAUUGCCUGCAAGACAGGGCCUGGAGAAGGCCAGGGCACCCAAGGCCACAGAAAUGCCCAGGGAUGAGUCCCGGCUGGAGAUGCCUUGGCUGAACUCACUGUGUACUUCCAGGGUGCACAGGGCAGUGUCUUCUUGGUACUACACAUGAAGAUGUCCUGCUCUCCCCUUCUCAAGGAGAGAGUGCCUGACCUGAGCUGGGCCCAUCAGAUCCAGUACUUACCCGGAAUAGGAAAAAGAUGGAGAGGGUGACCAAAGAUUACAAAAAUCUCUGAAGCUUAUCCACUUGAGAGAGAGUCCCUGAAGAUACUGGCCUUUCAU
rnacentral:lncRNA from 1 species